GGCAGUUCUCAGGUGACGUACCCCGAAAUUGGGCUCCCUCCUCUCUGGUUCCUGGGUGUGUCCCCAGAGAACUACA
rfam:Myotis brandtii contig154391, whole genome shotgun sequence.